UUAUCAAAACUCUUUCUUUCUCUCUCUAAAAUUCUCCUAGCAUCAUUCUCCUCCAGAUCCAAGAGAUUUCAGCAAAGAUUUGAAAAAUGACAUUUUUACUGUUUCUCGUCCUAAUGGUGCUCAUGGCCACUGGAAGUGGUCGUGGUCGUGGUAAAGGCCGUCGUGGGGCUUCUAAAUGGACUCGUACUGAAGACUAGUCGUCGGAUUCAGAUUCUGAUUAUAGGGCGAGUUCCCACGAGGAGGCAGAAAAAACUACAGUUCAAACGGAUAAAGGCAAAGGGAAAGCACCAGAAACAUCUAGAAAGAAAAAAGGUGCUAGUUCUCCUCCUUGGCAAGGACAGGUGGCCCCGUUAUUCGCGAGGGAGGGGUUCGUGAGCGUGAAAGUAGAUCAAAGCAUGCCGCAGAGAUACAAACAUAGUAGCAGAAGGCUUAUUCGAGCAGAUCGUGCUUAGCGGAACGGUAUGUCAACUUCAACGAACUCAUUAAGGAGGUUCCAGACUUUGGGCAUUUACUUCAAGAGCUCCGAUUGAGCCCGUUGGGAGGAUUCCAGCAUGUGCUCCUUUUUGUGUAGAACUUAUUCGGGAGUUCUACAUGCGUGGAAAAGUACUCGCGGAUGAUCAGGAGGCGGUUACUUAUUUGUUCGAGACAUAUGUACGCAAGAACAGGAUUCUUGUUACCCCGUCUAUGGAGCAAUUUUAAAAUAAUCAAUAGUUGAAGA